CCUGGACAAUGCGCCCUGCUCAGAUUUACACCUCUGAACAUUCUAUACGUUUCUUACUGCACGUUUCGUUAGAUAAGUCUGUUUAUGACCCUAACUGGACGCUCCGGCCACCUGCGGUCUCACUUUUUUUCCUGAAAGAUGUAGCAGAUGUUUCUCUCAUGGGGAACGGAAUGUGACCAGACAUUUGGCAACUAUUAACCCCCAAAUUAAUGAUUGCAGGGGUCUGCUGGUUUAUUUGUAUUUGACUGCUGUUGUGAGAAGGUGGGGAGCUCUGAGAGGGGCUGAUCUUCUUCCACACCACUGAAGCACCGGAGGAAAGGAAUCGCUGUAGAACUGAGCCGCAGGAGAGUCUGAGAUGGGGUUCAGUGAUCUUCUGAAUGAGGUCGGAGGAUUUGGACGGUUCCAGCUCAUCCACGUCACUCUGCUGUCCAUUCCGGGCCUUUUGAUGGCCAGCCAGAACUUGCUUAACAACUUCACUGCAGGCAUUCCUGGACAUUUCUGUAAAAUACCAAACAUCACGUCUCUGGCUGAGGCUCGGAACCUCUCUGAGCUGAGCAGAGCUGAUCUGCUGAGAGCCUUCAUCCCUCUGGAGGACUCGAAACUGUCCAAAUGCAGCAGAUACGCUCAGGCUCAGUGGCACCUCCUCAGUGAAAACUCCAGCCACUAUGAAGCCAGCAGUAAUGAGACUGAGACCUGUCUGGACGGCUGGAGCUACCAGAAAAAUGAGUUUAUCUCCACUAUAGUGUCUGAGUGGGAUUUGGUAUGUAAACUACGGCCACUGAAGCAGAUGAGCCAAACCAUCUACAUGGGCGGAGUGCUGACGGGUGCCAUUAUAUUUGGAGGCCUUUCAGACAGAUUUGGACGGAAGGCUUUGCUGAUCUGGUCAUAUUUCCAGCUGGCCGUGUUGGGCUGCUUCACGGCUCUGUCUCCGUCCUAUCUGGCCUACUGUAUUUUCCGCUUCCUGACUGGCAUGUCCGUUUCCGGGAUCAUCCUAAAUGCCGUCUCGCUCAAGGUUGAAUGGAUCCCCACCAAAGCCCGGACUCUGGUGGGCACCAUCUCCUCCUUCUUCUUCACCUUUGGACAGAUGAUCCUGGCUGGAGUGGCCUACAGUCUAAAGGACUGGCGCAAGCUCCACGUGGCUGUCUGCGCUCCACACUUCAUCUUCUUCAUCUACAGCUGGUGGUAUUCUGAAUCUGCCCGCUGGCUGGUGUUGACCGGUCGGUCAGAUGAAGCGCUGAAGCAGCUUCACCGCGUCGCCAAGAUCAACGGCCGACCGGAGAUGGCGGAGAAAAUCACCCUGGAGGUUCUUCAGGCACACAUGCAGAAAGAAGUUCAGUCCAGUAAGACGAUGUACACGGCGUAUGACCUGCUGCGCACUUCAGUGAUGAGGAAAAUCUCCAUGUGCCUCAUGGUGGUUUGGUUCUCCACCAGUUUUGCAUAUUAUGGUCUGGCGAUGGACCUGCAGAAGUUCGGUGUGAAUAUUUAUCUGAUGCAGAUCAUAUUCGGAGCGGUGGACUUUCCUGCUAAACUGGUGGCUUUGGUCAUGCUCAGCUUCCUCGGCCGGCGACUGACCCAGGCCACCUGUCUCCUCGCAUCAGCGUCCGUCAUAUUCGCCAACAUCUUUGUCCCUAAAGAAAUGCAGAUCGUGAGGACGACACUGGCUGUGCUGGGAAAGGGUUUCACCUCCGCUUCCUUUACCUGUGUUUACCUGUACACCGGAGAGCUCUACCCCACGGUCAUCAGACUGGGAUGGGCUUUGUCUCCACCAUGGCCCGGGUGGGCUCCAUGGCUGCCCCAGCUGUUCUCAUCCUGGAUGAAGUGUUACCUGCUUUACCCAGUAUAGUUUAUGGGGGGUCUGCAGUAGUGGCUGGAAUCACUGCCUUCCUCCUUCCAGAAACACUCAGCGUCCCUUUACCCGACACCAUAGAGGAUGUGGAGGAGAAAUGGGGAAAUAAAUCUCAGCGUUUUAAGAAGCAGGUACAGAAUGAGAUGGUGGCGUUUGAGGCAGAGGAACAGACUCCAGGAGAACACGAAGACGGAAAACCAGCUGCACUCUAAGAGUCUCCAUGAAUCACCUUCAUUUCCUUCACUCAGCACAAACACCAACAACAGCAUAGGCACUACCGUCCAGACGACUGGAGUCACGCGUUAGUCAUGUCUGGUAAUUAGCUGUAACUUGUAGACUCAUUUAAACUGGACACCAACAUUUAUCUUUAGAUGUUUUAUUCUUCACACAGUGCAUCUUUUUUGACUAAGAGUCGUUAUUAAAUGAUAUAUUAUUUAAAUUAUUAAAUUAAAUGAUAUGAAAUCAAAUAAGAAUAUACUAAUAUAAAAAAUGAUUAUAAAUAUAACUAAUUUAUCCACAGUGAUGGUUAGAUACAUCUGCCUGGAUUAAUCCAGGACACAGUGGAACAGACGGCGCUCCAGAAUCAGGAAAUACAUGGAAUUAUGAAACUAAUCUGAAUGCAGAUUUACCAGCUCAACACUUCACUCGCAGUAACUUUACCUGUGUUUAGCGGGAAUGCCAAUGUCUUCAAAAUAAAAGUCCCCUAUAAUUCGACUGCUAUGUCAUUGCACUUGAUUUAAUUAAGCACAAACAUUUAAUAAUAAGUGUUAUUAUUAUUAGUGGUAGUAUGCGGUUUGUGGUGACAGAAUAAUUACUAAUAAAUAUGGAAUAAGAUGUCCUUAAAUGGAUGUAUAUUGUACGUAGUUAUAAUUUGUACUUGAGACAAAAUAUGGGACUAAAUAUUCCUGCAUUUUUUCCCCCUGGAUAUUCUAAAAUAUGAUAAAACACGUUUAUUUGCAUCCAGGCAUGGUUGUAAACAUGGUUGUAAACGGUGAUUGCUAACUUUUGAGGUGAUCUGAUUGUGUGUCACGUUUAAAUUCAUGUUAAUUUCCAGAGUUUUGCUGGUUAAGAUGUUAAAUGUGUUGUAUUUUGUAAAUGUUCUAGGUGUAAAUAACAGAGAAGUGAAAGAAGAAGCACAGCCCUCACUGCAGUAAAGCAUACAAACAGCUCAUUUUACUAGUGUAAUAUCACUUUGUUCAAAGUGAAAGUCCAGGAUCUAAGAAGCUUUAAAGUGUUUGCACUAAAAUAUAAUUAAAAUGUAGUAAUAAAAAAAUACAUGAGUGAAAAUACUUGUGUUAUAAAAUAAAAGCACAUUUUAGCAGGAAUUUACAUGCAGUAGUUAUUCGAACUGGUAAAAUUGAUUUUAAUGUUCAAAGAAAAAAUUUGAAAAAAAUAAUAAAAAUUGUUACAUUUA